AAGAAAUAUGCGUAGCUUGUCAUUAUUAGAACGAUGUUUUAAAAUUGUUUUCUUUACAUGGCGAUUGGGUGGAUAUUCUAAAGUUGGGCUAAGAGCAGUUUCUCACGGCCACAACUGCUGAGACCACGAUGCAGCACAGUAAAGUAAAAACGUGCUUGUAUGCACGCCUGGAACGAGGUAUAUCGUGAGGCAGCCGAACUGGUUAUUGUUAAAUUCUCCGUUUUCGUUCGAAAAUAAGGUGAAGACAAGAUGCUGAAGCAAAACUAGGAACUCUUGGCUAGUAAACCAAUGCUUCAGGUGAUAAUAAUCCACAUCCCAAAUCACGAAUGACAGCUGCCUGGAUUCAAAUAGGUAACUUUUAUUUUAACUGGUGUAAAAGGUGUAUGCCUUCAAAAUAAUUCCCUUUGGCUGUGAGGACCCAAGUUAAGGUCUGCCCUCUCAAAAGCCUCUGCAGCUCCACUGUAGAUGGAGUUGAACAAGACAUGUUCUUCUUUUACAGAAAUAACGAGCUUCAGAUGCAGGGAACAAUGCAUCAUUUGGAAAUUUGAGAAACUUGAUGGCUAAAAUAUUCAUUUUUAUUUAUAUUUAUAUUUAUAUUCAGUUGAGAUAGUUUGUGCGAGAAAUAGUUACUGUGUGUCAUGAACUGUAUUAUUGCAAUCAUAUGCCACAGUUUAAUUAGUGUAUUUCAUUCAGUGAUUAAUUUAAAAGAAUAAUCACUACAGUUGUUAAUAUGAUAUUAUACUAUUUUAGCAAAUGGAUUUACAGUUUGUGUGUGUAUGUGUGUGUGUGGGGACUGAAAUAAACCUGGUGGCGAUUCUUA